UACGGAGGGUGCGAGCGUUGCCCGGAAUCACUGGGCGUAAAGGGCGCGUAGGCGGCCUGAUAAGUAGGGGGUGAAAUCUUGCGGCUUAACCGCAAGGCUGCCUUCUAAACUGUCAGGCUAGAGCACAGUAGAGGCAGGUGGAAUUCCCGGUGUAGCGGUGGAAUGCGUAGAGAUCGGGAAGAACAUCAGUGGCGAAGGCGGCCUGCUGGGCUGUUGCUGACGCUGAGGCGCGACAGCGUGGGGAGCAAACAGG
rnacentral:rRNA from 1 species